GAUGAACGCUGGCGGCGUGCCUAAUACAUGCAAGUCGAACGAAACUUCUUUAUCACCGAGUGCUUGCACUCACCGAUAAAGAGUUGAGUGGCGAACGGGUGAGUAACACGUGGGCAACCUGCCCAAAAGAGGGGGAUAACACUUGGACACAUGUGCUAAUACCGCAUAACCAUAGUUACCGCAUGGUAACUAUGUAAAAGGUGGCUAUACUACCGCUGUUGGAUGAGCCCGCGGCGCAUUAGCUAGUUGGUAGGGUAAAGGCUUACCAAGGCAAUGAUGCGUAGCCGAAUUGAGAGGGUGAUCGGCCACAUUGGGACUGAGACACGGCCCAAACUCCUACGGGAGGCAGCAGUAGGGAAUCUUCCACAAUGGGCGAAAGCCUGAUGGAGCAACGCCGCGUGGGUGAAGAAGGUCUUCGGAUCGUAAAACCCUGUUGUUAGAGAAGAAAGUGCGUGAGAGUAACUGUUCACGUCUCGACGGUACCUAACCGGAAAGCCACGGCUAACUACGUG
rnacentral:rRNA from 1 species